AUUGAACGCUGGCGGCAGGCUUAACACAUGCAAGUCGAACGAGCGGCGGACGGGUGAGUAAUGUCUGGGAAACUGCCUGAUGGCGGGGGAUAACUACUGGAAACGGUAGCUAAUACCGCAUACUAUCAGAUGUGCCCAUAUGGGAUUAGCUAGUUGGUGGGGUAAUGGCUCACCUAGGCGACGAUCCCUAGCUGGUCUGAGAGGAUGACCAGCCACACUGGAACUGAGACACGGUCCAGACUCCUACGGGAGGCAGCAGGGGGGAAUAUUGCACAAUGGGCGCAAGCCUGAUGCAGCCAUGCCGCGUGUGUGAAGAAGGCCUUCGGGUUGUAAAGCACUUUCAGCGGGGAGGCGGUACCUGCAGAAGAAGCACCGGCUAACUACGUGCCAGCAGCCGCGGUAAUUC
rnacentral:rRNA from 1 species